CAGGGCCCAGUCCCUCGGACCCAUCACCCCUUAUAGAUCCUACUGCGGUCUUGGAUAUUGCCGGGAAAAUGUCUGAUGAAUUUUCUUUGGCAGAUGCACUACCUGAACGCUCCCCUGCCAAAACCUCUGCUGUGAGCAAUACAAAACCUGGCCAACCUCCUCAAGGCUGAUCAGGCUCCAACCCUUGGAAUAAUCCGAGUGCUCCACCUUCGGUGCCAUCUGGACUCGCACCAAGUGCAACACCCUCCACUGUGCCUUUUGGACCAGUAUCAACAGGAAUGUAUCCCUCCGUGCCUCCCACCAGACCACCUCCAGGACCACCAGCACCCUUUCCUUCUUCUGGACCGUCAUCCCCCCAACCUGGUGCUCCUUAUCCAGCCCCAAUUGUGCCAGGCCCUGGCCCCAGAGGGCCAUAUCCUACACCAAAUAUGCCCUUUCCAGAGCUACCCAGACCAUGUGGUGCACCCACAGAUCCAGCUGCAGCUGGUCCUUUAGGUCCAUGGGGAUCCAUGUCUUCUGGACCUUGGGUGCCAGGAAUGGGAGGGCAGUAUUCUACCCCUAAUAUUCCAUAUCCAUCUCCAGGGCCAUAUCCUGCUCCUCCUCCUCCCCAAGUCCCUGGGGCAGCAUAACCUGUUCCAUGGGGCACCGUUCCACCAGGAGUCUGGGGACCACCAAUACCAUAUCCUGCCCCUACAGAAUAGUAUCCCACACCAGGAUGCUAUCCUACUCCCAGUAAUCCUUUCCAAGUGCCUUCAGGACCUUCUGGUGCUCCACUGAUGCCUGGUGGCCCCCAUUCUUACCACUGAGUUAACAAUGGACGAAGAGAUGACGCUUUGCUUUUUGAAGUACCUUUAUAUGCACAUGAAUGCAUAUAUAAAAAUUGCUGGUUUCACUAUUAGAGGGCAUUCAUAAAAGAAAUCUUGUGCCUCUCAGAGAAGAUAACUGCCUCUUGUACUUGGAUGUGUAGUACAUCAUAUGUAUACAAUCAGAUAAAAGCGUACAAGUAAAUCAUUCAGAUGUGAUUUUUUAUUUGGUUUUCAUGGAAAGUUAAAGUAUAUUGAAUAGCUCUUUGACAGAAUUUGUUUAAACUAUGAAACUACACACUUAAAAAUCUAAGAUGUGGAUUAUUGUUAGAAUCUGCAACUUCAUUGACAAAUUAUUUCAAGUAUUUUUCUAUAAUCACUUUCCCCUUCUAAAUAAAUAAACUUUGAGAAUAACCCAUCAUAAUCCAAAGAAAUGAUGCCUCAACAUUUUGCACUGCUCUGUUGGACAAAUUCACCUGGUCCUCUUGAGAUUGUAUUUUGAAUAUACAUUUUUAAACUGUCAGUAAUUAUUGUCAGAUGUGGAGUUCAAUAGCCAGCCAGUGUUCAUUUUUAUCCUUGAGCUUUUAGUAAAAACUUCCUGGUUUUAUUUUUAGUCAUUGGAGCAUACAGCACUAAAGUCUGCUAUUUAUGGAAACUAACUUUUUUGUUUUUAAUCCAGGUCAACAUGUAUGUAAAUUAAAUUUUUAGAUAAU